rnacentral:rRNA from 1 species
CGGACGGGUGAGUAAUGUCUGGGAAACUGCCUGAUGGAGGGGGAUAACUACUGGAAACGGUAGCUAAUACCGCAUAACGUAGCAAGACCAAAGAGGGGGACCUUCGGGCCUCUUGCCAUCAGAUGUGCCCAGAUGGGAUUAGCUAGUAGGUGGGGUAACGGCUCACCUAGGCGACGAUCCCUAGCUGGUCUGAGAGGAUGACCAGCCACACUGGAACUGAGACACGGUCCAG